GGAUAAUCUACCCGAUAGACCGGGAUAACAUUUCGAAAGAGAUGCUAAUACCGGAUAAGCUCACGAAGUCUUCGGACUUAGUGGGAAAAGGUGGGGACCUUCGGGCCUGCCGUCAUCGGAUGAGUCCGCGGCCCAUUAGCUAGUUGGUAGGGUAAUGGCCUACCAAGGCUACGAUGGGUAGCUGGUCUGAGAGGAUGAUCAGCCACACUGGAACUGAGACACGGUCCAG
rnacentral:rRNA from 1 species